GCGCCAGUAGCUCAGCUGGUAGAGCAGGAGACUCUUAAUCUUCGGGUCGGGGGUUCGAUCCCCUCCUGGCGCA
rnacentral:tRNA from 1 species